AUCAUGGGAAACUUCUUCAAGGCCACCAGUAUCUUCCCCUCUGCUUACUGUGGCAAAAAUCUCCACCUCCAGUUCGACCUGCAAGCCUGGCGCCACCUGGGAGAGACAGAGGAUCACUGACAGUUACCAGCAUGCACCUGCACCGGAAGCUGUUAAGGGAAAGGCAUUACAAGAGGCAUCCCUAUUAUACGGCUCCAUCGUAUGGGAAGCCCUGGGAGACUUAUAAACUGGCUGUCAGAAUUCCGGCACCUUCUCUGGAGCGCUGGCUGCUAUGAGAAACAGGACUUGAUUUUUGUCAGGAUGUCCCAACAGGUUCAGGCUAUGGUAUGGAUAAUUUGGAAGGCACACAGUUAACUACUGACACUGUCAUGGAAAAGUUUUGGCUUCAGCAUGAGGCAGAUGUGGCUCAGAAUUGCCCACCACUGGCCAUGCCCCUGCCCGAGCACGUUCUGCUUCACUCCGCAGCUGGUCACUUAGCUCUCCUCUCAACGCAUGAAGCGGAAGGCUUAAAAGGCUGAUCUAAAAAAACAGAAGCAUCUCUGCCAUCCCUCCUGAUGGAAGCAGCUGUACAGCAGUCUCUCAGCUGGUCUUGAACGGAUUUCGGAGGUACUCCCUAGAGUGGAGUACGCGGAAGAGAUCAUGAUGAUCCCAGUAAGGUAAGUCUGUGAGCUCCUCUUUUGGUGAUAAUUAGCCACCUGAAGAGGAGGAACAACAAAUGUCAGACGUAAAUGUUUAUUUCAUUGCACCACUGUGGCACCACAGUAAAGGGGUGCUGUGACUGCUGAGAUAGGUAGUGUCUCUGUGACACGUCUCCUGAGCCUUUUUCUAAAGGGGACAGCAAACUGCAGGUCCCCUGCAGCCAGAAAAGGGAAGGUGGGCAGGUGCUUGCUCAUGUGAGGAGAACACCAAAGAAACAGCACCCAGAAGGUGCAGCACAUCAGGUCCAAGAAUGUUUAAUGCCCUCCUUGCUGUUUUCCUUAACUAGUGCUAAUGCUGCAGGAAAAAAUAAAGACUACUGAUCACCAGUGCUAAGAGGAACCAGCUUUUGAACAAUCUAGACCAAGAUGCCAGUAGGGUGUUUAUUUCCAUGCAAUCAGUUAGCCUCCCUCUCCUGGGACCUGUGCAUCCAGCAGAAAAAAGACAAAUGGAUGACACUGGUCUAAAUAGCAGCUUCCCAUUAACUGCUAAAUAAGCCAAGAACCUCUCCAGCUGCCGGAGGUAACUGAGGAUAGGUGGGCACAAGAGGCUGACUUUGGAAAACUUCGGUGGGAAUAGCUGUUUUGGAACACAGCUUGGGUCUGGCUUUGGGGCUUUUGAGCCAUCUGAAAUGACACGUUCCCACCAAGUACUGCAGUUCCAGAAAACAUCUGGUGGGAUUAUAACCAUUUAAAUUCAGCUGGUUUGAAGUGACAGACCUUACGUGGAAGCCCAGAAGCUCAAAGGGCUUACAGACUGUUGUUGCUGGCUCUCCUUUGAGCUAAAAAGCAAGGUACAUCAUAUACAGCAAGGUACAUCAUAUAUAGCAAGCGCGGCUGAGCAAACGGAGUGGGAGCAGUAUGCCCUGCCCUCCUUUCUGUCACACGUAUGGCACCUGGGGGACAGAUGUCCUAAGCACACCUGCCUGAUACAGCUAAUGUAAAACUGCUGCAAUGGUGCUGGUGCCAGACUGACUGACUGACCACAUGUGCAGUCACUCAGAAGAGGAAUUCUAGUACAAUCACAAGCAUUUUCUUGCUGUAUUUAUAUAUUCCUUAAACCACAGCUGGGCAUGGUACUUUCCUGUGAUUUGUCAUGCAGGGCAUGAGAUGAUCUGCUGGACUGCAGAGCUACAGAUGGACUUACUUCUCCUCGCCCUUUGGAACGCAGUGCAGUGCUAUUCUGCCCCCGCACUGACAGUGGUGACGCUAAUGAAGGGAAACGUGUGCACACACAAAUGCUUUAUUUCAUCCUCAUCCCCUGCUUGUUCCCAGUGGCAUCCCUGGAGCUGUUUCUCGAUGCAGCUGCCUGAAUACAGCUCUGCCUGUUUAGCCUGACUUGCAGUGUCCAGCACCACCUCCCAUGCCAAGUGUAACACUCGUUACCAUGAAAGACUUUGGUCCCUGAACAUGUGAACUUCAAUAAGAACCAGUAAAUCAUCUGUGACGGGCCAGGACUAUGCAAACAGCACCUGCUGGUCCUUCCUGCAAACAUGCACUAAUAUGCAAACAACGCUAAAGUAUUUCUAAUACUAUCUCCUCUAUCUAGUCGGUCAUUAUCAAAUUAUUCCAAACAUAAAAAUACCAUUUUUAAUCUCAUGCUAAUCAGAUCAAAAGGUUGACAAUUAACAAACAAUGCAUCUUUGGACAGUUAAAACCCAAGGUACU